GACGUUUACGUCGUGCAUGCGAGUCUACCAAGACACGUUCACUAUUACGCUCUUUUUUCACCGGAUUACACAAAAAAAUAUAAAAGGAGGUGCAACACGAAGACUUCCCAAGGGGUCACUGAUGCGGUUGAAGAGCAAGCGUGUCAGUUUUAUGGAAAGAUUUUGAUAGAUGGUGGAAAGAUUUGAUCCAGUGGCAAUUUGGUAGUUUUUGCCAAGUUUGGAGUGCCGGAUUUUCGCGUUUUCGGAGCCUAAUUUCAUUGGAAACGGGUCAACGAUCAAAAGUCACCAGCGCUGCGCUCGUGAGCUGCAGGGUUUUUUGGUCAAAUUUUAUCGUUUGGGCCUCUAAAAGUACAUUUUAUUGUUUUCGGGUUAUUUUUGUAAUUUUCCCUAUUAGUUUUUCUUUUCCGUUUUGGAUUCCGCUUUUAGGGUUUUUGCUAUCGAAACGUUUUUUUACGAUGGGAUGCAACAGUUUUGGUAAACUAGUGCUGGUAUGAUCGCACCCGUUAGGAUUCUCCAUUUUUAUUCCUAUAUUCCCACAUAUGGGUGGAACGCAGUGACGCUUACGUCGUGCAUGCGAGUUUACCAAGACACGUUCACUAGUACGCUCUUUCUUCACC
rnacentral:lncRNA from 1 species